AGAAAGGUCAGACUUAAGCAUAAAGUGCAGCCAGAAGCUUGCUCAAGCUACUGACAGUUGAGUCUGAGCAGAUUUUCAUAUUGCAAACGUGUUUUCAGACUGACGAGUUGAGAAAGUUAGAAAAAUAACAUGAAACAAAAAGAGAAAAAAUUGCAGUGUAUUUGAUGAAGAUGUGACGGCUGAUUAGCCCUCAAGCCAUACAGCUGUGGGGGAACUAAUGAUUGGUUUGGCCGUUGCAGCAGGGGGUUCAAAUUGAUUGAUGGACGUAGCUCCAGUAUACUCCUGAACACUCCUGGACAGACCAGUCUUCUGUGGCUGCAGGGCAGAGUCUGCUGACGGUGUCUCUGCUUAUCGGCGGCGUCAUGCGCGUGUAGCGUCGGACAGCCGAGUUUUGGACCAGAGGAGGGAAAACAGACACACAAAGACUGGAGUGGAAAAGACAUCAGUGGCGAUCGAGUAACACAUGAGGACAACCAAACAGCAGAGACUCUCACACUAAGCUGAAAUGAAAGAAGUGCACAUAAAUGAGGCAUAGCAGAGACAGCAGAGAGGCCCGGGCCUGUGGUGUUUUUCCAAGCUGCAGAAAUGAAAACAAGAUGAAGAGAGGUGUAACAGUGGGCUGGUGAGGGGAGGGCAGGUGUUCCUGCUCAUGUUGCUGUUAAUUAUUAGCUUCAAGUACAAGUAGAAUCUGAGCAAUCAUCAGACAGAAGUUGCUAAGGCAGCUUAGAAAGAUUGUGGGAGAAAACUGUUGGUGUAUUGCCACUAAAACCAGUAUCUAAUCUGGGAAUAAAGACUGGUUUCUGCUAAUGGUACCUAAGCCACAAACAUUGGCACUGCAAAUCAUUAGGACUGUGCAGCAGACUAAUACAAAAACAAGGCAUUGGUGCAUUCUGGCACUUGUAUUGUGAAUGAUGGCUCACUAGCAGAGCUUACUGGGACUGAUAGACUGAUUUUUAUUUUCGUACCUGGUAUGACAAGUCAAAAUGUCUCCUGUUUUUACAGUUUUUUAGUAACACCAAUCUCCUUUUUGAAGACAUUAUCACCCUUAAGCAGAGAUAUGACACAAGCCAGCAUGCUGUUAAGUACAACUCUGUUCCAAUACUGAAUGAUACUUACUAGUGUUGGUAGAAAUCUUAAUGAGAUAAUGAGUAUUUCCUACUAAACAGAGCGUCAAAAACAUACCCUGCUAUUUUACUCAAAAUUGACGGUGCAAGAAAUGCCCUUGUUUCCCGUCCAGAACAAAACCGAAAAAGAUAAAACUUUGCUAAAGAACAUGAAAAAAAAAUCCGCUGAAUGUUGGUAGCACCUUCCUUGGUCAGAUGACAUUAAGAUAAAUUUGUUUGGCCCAGAUGGUGUCCAGCUUGUUUGGCUUGAACCUGUCCAGAAAUACCAAGUUGAAUGCUUAGUCCUGACAGUGAAGCACUGAGGUGGAGGUGUGAGGUUAACAGGCUGUGUGAGUGCAAAACAUGUUGGGGAGAUGACAUUUAUAGAUGUCACUAUGAAUGUCUGAGGAAAUACCAAACUACUGGUUGACAAUAUCACUCCCAGUCUACAGAAGACUGGCCGAAGAAGAAUAUUCCGGCAUGAUAGGAGUUUCUACAGACGAAAAAAAUAACAAAUAUGACUGGGCCAAGUAUGUCACCUGAGUUGAAUCCACUAGAACACCUUUGGGUUAUAUAAAGAGAAAGGUGAAGCAACAUCUCCAGCAAAGUGCAGCUGAGAAGAAUGUUUUUAAAGAAUGGACUAUUUCUGUUUGAAAAAAUAAAGAUGGACAUUAAAAAAAGCAUGAAUCUCAGUCUUGCAGGAUGUAUAGACCUCUGUUGCAUUAUUUUCCUACUGUGGAACCUGUGAUGUUACAUAUUAGUAAUAUGAUACAUUGCUGUAAGGUGAUACAAUUUUGAAUCAUAUGACAUUUAAGUGAUGUUGCACAGGGGUAUACUCACAAUUUAGCUUCCACACCACAUAAAGCUUGACGACACCGUUAGAUAUAAAGCAGAUUAGCAUACCCAGCUUAAUGAGCUAAACAGCUGACAGGUCCCCUAUGUAAACUACAGCAUAUCCUACCACAGCGGACAUAUGGACACAGUAAAAAAAAAAUAAAAAAACAAAAAGACAGUGAUGGAUUUGUUUCCCAAGCAAGUGCAAUGAGUGUGUGAAAUGCAGGUCAGGUGAGUCAUCUUCUCUUCCCUGACAGUGCUGUCUGUUUUUUCACACUUGAAUGGAAAAAUACUCUUGUGUGUGUGUGUGUGUGUGUGUGUGUGUGUGUGUGUGUGUGUGUGUGUGUGUGUGUGUGUG